UACGUAGGGUGCGAGCGUUGUCCGGAAUUAUUGGGCGUAAAGGGCUCGUAGGCGGUUUGUCGCGUCGGGAGUGAAAACACGGGGCUUAACCCCGUGCCUGCUUCCGAUACGGGCAGACUAGAGGUAUGCAGGGGAGAACGGAAUUCCUGGUGUAGCGGUGAAAUGCGCAGAUAUCAGGAGGAACACCGGUGGCGAAGGCGGAUCUCUGGGCCUUACCUGACGCUGAGGCGCGAAAGCUAGGGGAGCAAACAGG
rnacentral:rRNA from 1 species